UGAACAAGUAUUUGCUGAGCAUCUACUAUGGGGAAGAAAGUGCCCCAGGGAAACUGUUGGUUCAGAGGCCCAGACCUGUUUCACAGAUUCAAGAACAGAGACCAAGAGAAGAACAGCAUAGACCAGAACCCAGGCUUCAGCCCCCCGGCACAAGGUUCUUCCACACCACCAGGCCUCUUGCCAAAGUCCGAAGUAACUCACAUACAAACCUUCUUGCAUAAAAGCCUGAGAAGACCCCAUUCUCCCCUUCCUGUUCCAGGCUUCCUCCUGUUGAUGCAAUGCAGAGAGAAAAGGGAAGAAAAAGAGCAAGCAGAACAGUACAUCCAUCAACAAGACAUCUCCAUUGCUGCUAAGUCCAGACUCCAUAACAGGGCCAGACGAGGCCAUCUCCCCACUCUCCCCUGCGCACUCCAGCCGCCCCAGGCCUCUCCCCACCCCUCAGGCUUGAACCUGUGCAGCCUCCAGUCUGAACAUGAUCCUCCAGGAACAUCGGGUCCUCCAGGAAGCAUUCUGGGCUCUGCAUGGGUGAGGAUGUGGGUCCCACUGCUCUAACAGAGAACCGAUAACAUUGGCUGAAACAGGAGAGAACGUUUCUUUCCUCUGAUGUAAACACUCUGGCUGAGUGGUGGCUCUGCCAUGCAAAGAGGUCCUGCUCCUUGCAUCACCCCCAGGGCAGGACCCUGCA